GGCGGAUAUAACUCAGUUGGUUAGAGUGUCAGGUUGUGGCUCUGAAAGUCAAGGGUUCAAAUCCCUUUAUUCGCC
rnacentral:tRNA from 1 species